UACGAAGGGGGCUAGCGUUGCUCGGAAUCACUGGGCGUAAAGGGUGCGUAGGCGGGUCUUUAAGUCAGGGGUGAAAUCCUGGAGCUCAACUCCAGAACUGCCUUUGAUACUGAAGAUCUUGAGUUCGGGAGAGGUGAGUGGAACUGCGAGUGUAGAGGUGAAAUUCGUAGAGAUUGGGUGGAACACCAGUGGCGAAGGCGCCUGCCUGGCUGAUUACUGACGCUGAGACUCGAAAGCAUGGGGAGCAAACAGG
rnacentral:rRNA from 1 species